AUCCAUGCGUGUCACUGUGUAUCAGUGUUUGUGUCAGUGUGUAUCCAUGUGUGUCACUGUGUAUCUGUGUAUGUGUCUAUCCAUGUGUCACUGUGUAUCUGUGUCAGUAUGUGUGUGUCAACGUGUAUUUAUGUCAGUAUAUGUGUGUGUAACUUGGUGUGGCAGUGUGUACGUGUAUCUGGGUCAGUAUGUAUGUGUGGCAGUGUAUAUGUUCACACAUUCCAGCUUUCAAACACCAACACAAUACACAAACACACCACUGCAUUCAAAUGGCAACAAUACAUACAAAUACACUACUACAUUCACACACAUACUACAUACAAAAACAUACUUACAUUCAAAGGCACAAAAACUGCUCACAAACACAACCCUGCAAAUGGGCAAAUGGUAGAUACCCAGCUGGCAAAGUAUUGUGGGAGUUGCACAACAGUUAAGAAUCCAACUUUUGGCUAAAGUGGGGGAUCCUUUCUUGUACCGGGGCCCUCUCUACAUUAGUUCUGGGAGAAUUCCUGCUGAUUUAUACUUUGGUGAAUAAGCCCUGUCAGCAUCAACUUCAGG